rnacentral:tRNA from 1 species
CGGGGUAUGGCUCAGCUUGGUUAGAGCGCACGACUGGGGGUCGUGAGGUCGCAGGUUCAAAUCCUGUUACCCCGA